ACGAAGAAACCUUACCGGGUUUGACAUAUAAGUAGUAGGGAUCUGAAAAGUGACCGACCCUUCGGGGAGCUUAUACAGGUGCUGCAUGGCUGUCGUCAGCUCGUGCCGUGAGGUGUCCCGGGUUAAAGUCCCGGUAACGAGCGCAACCCCCACUGUAUGUUACAAGUGUCAUACGGAACUGCCGGUAUCAAGCCGGAGGAAGUGGGAUGACGUCAAGUCAGCAUGGCCUUUAUAUCCGGGGCUACACACACGCUACAAUGGCCAGGUACAAUGGGUUUGCAAGACCGCGAGGUGGAGCCAAUCCUCAAAGCUGGUCUCAGUUCAGAUUGUAGGCUGCAACCCGCCUACAUGAAGUCGGAGUUGCUAGUAACCGCAGGCCAGCCAUACUGCGGUGAAUACGUUCUCGGGGAUU
rnacentral:rRNA from 1 species